UUUACACUUUUUAUGCUAUAUUUAUAUUUUACUCUCUGAUGAAAAGACCCUCCAUGUGUCCUUUCACUCUUCAUCAAAAUCAUGUUUGGUUCUGACCCAAAUAUUCAGCUCUGCAGGUUCAGGUGAACACAGAGUCAGUCCACAGGACUUCAGACCAUGCAGAACUGAAGUGUCACAGCAGCUGCAGUCCAGCUGGUCACCAGUCUUACAUCUGGUUCAAGAAUGGAGAGAAAAUUCAGACAGAAACAGCUACUUUUUUGGUCCGCUUGGAUUCUGUGGACAGCUACGCCUGUGCUCUGAGAGGAUUUGAGGACUUUCCCUCUCCUUCAGUCUGUAAGUUUAACGUACGCCCAGCUGCUGUUUUGUACAACUGUUUUUUUUUUUACAGGUCUCCACAUGAAAAAUGAUAUUUUACUGAUAUAAAAUAUCUGUUUUUGUUUUUUUUUUAUUGUAGGUAUUUAUGGUCGAUACUGCAACAAUGUGAUGUACAUGAUGAGAAGGAUCUGUGCCCCUAAAGGUUCAUCAGUGGACAUUUCAUGCUCAUACUACAGUUACUGGGGUCGUGCAUCAAAAUUCUGGUUUAGUCCUGAACGCAGUCACCAGUGGAAGACUGAAACGCAGCCUGAAGACGUACGGAAGGACUCCAAGUAUGAAGGUCGUAUUGAAGUCUUAGAAACUUGGGGAGGACAGUCCAUUCUGAGAAUCUCUGAACUGAGAGAGAGUGACUCGGCCGAGUAUCGCUUCAAGUUUAAAUCAAUGAGCUUUGAAUGGAGGAGCAGUUUACCUGGUACAAAUCUGACCGUCACAGGUACUGAAGAACACACCAAAUACAGCAGUACAUUUUGCAAACUUUUACCUCCUCUCAGUAAGAUUCCUUUCCCCGAGUGUUUUUUUGUGAUUAUUCAAAGUGUUUGCAUGAAAGUGUUUUCGGGUAAACACAAACAAAAGUGCUUAUAACUCUAUUUGAAGCACUCUCACUGUUAUCCUUCUAUAUUCUGGAUGUCCAGCUCCGCAGGUGCAGGUAACUUCUGUAACAGUCAAAGAGGAUUAUACUGAAGCAUCACUGAAGUGUCACAACAGCUGCACUAUAUCUGGUGGCAUUUCAUAUGUCUGGUUCAAGAAUGGAGAAAAAAUCCCAAAUGAGGAGAGCUCCUCUCAUGAUGACUGGUUUUUGCCAGGAAACUCCAUCUCCUGUGCUCUGAAAGGGCUUGAAGAGUAUGGCUCCUCCACACUGUGUGAGUUUGCUCCGCUAUGGCCGCCUUCAGAGGGGUCAACCACAUUUAAUGGCUUGUCACAUUAGCUACUUAUUUUAUUGGUCAGUGAUUUUUUUCUCUACAGAUGCUCUGAAUGCUCCCUCAGUGUCAGCAAGUCCUCCUGGUGAAAUAACAGAGGGCAGCUCGGUCACUUUGAACUGUAGCAGUGAUGCUAACAUUAAAGCUACAUACACCUGGUACAAGAGGAACCAAGCACUGUCCUGUGAAAAACCACAGCUUAUUUUCACUUCCAUCCAGUCCUCUGACUCUGGAGAGUACCACUGUGCAGCUGAGAACGAGCUGGGGAGGAGAGCGUCCAAACCCAUCUCUGUUGAUGUCAAAUGUGAGUGAAAGACUCUUAAAUGGCUGAAAAUAUUUAUCUAUGAUUUGGGAAAACUGUCUUGUGGUCUGACAAAUCAGAAUUUGGCUUUCUCUUUGGAAAUCAUGGAUGCACCCCCAGUGGCAUAGGUAUAGAUAAGAAACGAGAGCAUGAGUAGCUUACCCAUCAGGGGAAGCAUCAUUGAUGGUAAAAAUCAGAAGAAGGUUUUGGAGGAACGUAGUACCACCCACCAUCUCGUAAAUUUCAGCAAGACAAUGCCAAAGCUCCUUAUACACAUAUAGAACAACAUGGCUCUGUGGUAGAAGAGUCCUGGUGUUAAACUAGUCCUAAACUGAUCUGCCUAGAUGUUAAAUCUGUUGAUUUCCUCCUCCAGAUCCUCCAAAGCUUCCCUCUGUGUCGGUGAGUCCCUCUGCUGAGAUAGAUGAGGGCAGUUCAGUGACUCUCACCUGCAGCAGCGAUGCUAACCCUGCAGCUAACUAUACCUGGUACAAGGAGAAUGAAAUCUUUCCACAAGCUUUAGGACAGACCUUCACCAUCACUGACUUUAGUGCCAGCAACAGUGGGAAUUAUUACUGUGAAGCUCAUAAUGGAAUAGGAUUUCACAACUCCACCUCAAUUCUGAUUGUUGUAUCAGAAUGUCCUUGUACCAUGUCCUCUGAAUAUCAUCCAACAGGGAUGCAGAUUGAGGGAGAAUCUAUGAGCUGACAUUCCCAUCCCAUCAUUAGCAUUGAUUAUGUUUCAAUCCUCAGUAAGAAUAUUGAAGGAAAACCUCAUUUUCCAAGCUGGACAAACAUGUUUUCUCUGCAAAGAAAUAUCAUUUUAGGUGUGUCAAAUGUCCAUCUUUAAUUCUAGGGGACUCAAUAUUAAGAAUAAAUGUCAUCAGGUUGACUCUGUUGCCCUUGGUGCUGAUCCCUCUGCUCCUCCUGAUUCUGUGGUCCAGGUAAAACCAUGAAAAAUCAUCUGUCACCUUUCCUUUAUCUUCUUCACCACAUGCCUGAGUUUCAAUUUUUGACUUUUUCAAUGUUUAAAGUUAUUUGUUGUUUUUUUUUUAGGAAGAAAAAGACUCUGAGCUCCACUAGUGAGCCCGUUAAACCUGCAGAGAUGAUAGAGGUGAGACUUAAGGAGACGUCUGAUGAAGUACUCUGGAAGUGGUUAAGAAAUGGAGGGAGUUUAAGAUUGAAAUAAACCUUUGGGGGAAUUUUUAAGUAAAUCUAAAACAAGAUAAAACUAAUUACUGAACAAAAAUCUCAUCACUUGUCAUCAGUUAAACCCCAGUCCUAAGAGUGAGGACAUCUCAGCUGUCCCUUCAGCACAGGCAGAGGACACAGAGGAGCAGGAAGACAUUGUGUGAGGUCCAGUCCAGGCUAGAUCCUCCUAAACUGAAGAAAAACAGAUGAGCUCUUUACAAGGCUGGGACUCACUGAGGAGAACAAGGCUGCAGAUUAUCUUUCAC